rnacentral:rRNA from 1 species
CAGUCGCCGCGGGAAUACCAGCAGCCCAAGUGGUGGUCGCGCUUAUUGGGCCUAAAGCGCUCGUAGCCUGGCCGGUAAGUUCCCCGUGAAAUCGGGUCGCCCAACGAUUCGGCUUGCGGGGAAUACUGUCGGUCUUGGGGCCGGGAGACGCCGAGGGUACUCCGGGGGUAGCGGUGAAAUGCUGUAAUCCUCGGGGGACUACCAGUGGCGAAGGCGCUCGGCGAUAACGGGCCUGACGGUGAGGGGCGAAAGCUGGGGGCGCGAACGGGAUUAGAUACCCCUGUAGUCCCUGUCUCUUAUU